UAGGUCUCAGUUCGGAUUGUAGGCUGCAACCCGCCUGCAUGAAGUUGGGAAUUGCUAGUAAUCGCGGAUCAGCAUGCCGCGGUGAAUACGUUCCCGGGGCCUUGUACACACCGCCCGUCACACCAUGGGAGCCGGUAAUACCCGAAGUCAGUAGCCUAACCGCAAGGAGGGCGCUGCCGAAGGUAGGAUUGGCGACUGGGGUGAAGUCGUAACAAGGUAAC
rnacentral:rRNA from 1 species